rnacentral:rRNA from 1 species
CUUGUACACACCGCCCGUCACACCAUGGGAGCGGGUUCUGCCAGAAGUAGUUAGCCUAACCGCAAGGAGGGCGAUUACCACGGCAGGGUUCGUGACUGGGGCG